rnacentral:rRNA from 1 species
GACGAACGCUGGCGGCGUGCUUAACACAUGCAAGUCGAGCGGUAAGGCCCUUUCGGGGGUACGACGAGCGGCGAACGGGUGAGUAACACGUGGGUGACCUGCCCUCAGCUCUGGGAUAAGCCCGGGAAACUGGGUCUAAUACUGGAUAUGACUCCACGGUGCAUGCCGUGGGGUGGAAAGCCUUGUGCGGCUGAGGAUGGGCCCGCGGCCUAUCAGCUUGUUGGUGGGGUGANGGCCUACCAAGGCGACGACGGGUAGCCGGCCUGAGAGGGCGACCGGCCACACUGGGACUGAGACACGGCCCAGACUCCUACGGGAGGCAGCAGUGGGGAAUCUUGCGCAAUGGGCGAAAGCCUGACGCAGCGACGCCGCGUGAGGGAUGACGGCCU